rnacentral:rRNA from 1 species
UACGGAGGGUGCGAGCGUUGUCCGGAAUCAUUGGGCGUAAAGGGCGCGUAGGUGGCGGCUUAAGCGUGCGGUGAAAGCUCGGGGCUCAACCCCGAGUCGGCCGUGCGAACUGAGUCGCUUGAGCACUGUAGAGGCAGGCGGAAUUCCCGGUGUAGCGGUGGAAUGCGUAGAGAUCCGGAAGAACACCGGUGGCGAAGGCGGCCUGCUGGGCAGUAGCUGACACUGAGGCGCGAAAGCGUGGGGAGCAAACAGG